ACUUCAACAUAUAUAGAAGUAAGUUUGUAUGGCUUAUGGAUGGCAAAAGCUUUUUAAAAUAAAAAGAACAGGUGGAUAGAAGCAGUCAGGAAUGGAUAGCAUUGUUUUGGGUCCUGUGGUGAAGUUGGGAAGGUAUCUUUAACUUUUCCUAAUCAGUUUUUGCAUGCCACUAUUUGCACUUCUUUUCAGCAGGGAGAUGUUCCAGGUGCUGCUGUCACCAACUCGCUGAAUAUGAUAAGCCCUCAAAAUAGCCAGCUCUCUUGUUCUCCAAUUCACCAGCCAUCUGUUCCUUACUAUGAGUUUCCUGCAUCCACUGUGGUUGGCAUACUACCUGCCCAGCCCCAAAUCCCAUUGGGAGUGGCGCCUUUUCUGCCCRCCCCGGUCUCUUCUCCGGGAUUCCAGCCUGAUACUCUGCAGGGGCAAAGCACACCUUUARGACAAGCAUCAAGUGGCAGCACCAGCUCAAAUCCUAAUGCAGCCUUUGUCUCCAGGAUAGCUCUCACCUCUGCCAACCCCCCGGACCUCUCAACAACACACCCUGGCAGCUCAGGAUCCUGGCCACUUGGCGGCAGACGAUCUAAGCAAAGCCCUUCAAAUACAAGAGCCCACCACUCAAAAUAGAAGAYGGGACCUACCACUGACAGAAGGCACAAGGUCUGCAGAGAGUUCUGGGGAAAGUCUCCCUGGCUGUGAACCGGCUCCGACGGAAGGAGAGGGUUCAGAACCUCCCCAUAAAAAAUAGCGAAUGAAUCCCACUGGUGGGACCCGUGAAUCUUCUUUGACUCAGGAACUUUUUGCUGUUCUCCAAAAGCACGUUUCCCUUGCUAUAAACCAAAAUAUGGAGAAAGUGAGUGACAUGGUGAGCAGGUUGCAUGGCACUGCCUUAAAGGAUACAGAAGAAGCAAAAGCCCUGAGUGCCGCUUUGGAAAAAGCUCUGGCACUUUUGAGGUUCCUCUUUGAAWAUGCCUGAUAUAAAUCUGGGGUGUGAAAUGGGUUUGGGGGUAGCGUUGUGUACCCAAGAAAGAAACCUAGAGACACGAAAUUAGGAAAGGAAUUUACCUCAAGUAAUACUGUACAACAUGACCCUUGUGUGCAUUGUGGAUAUGUUCAAAAUCCCAGUGAGAUUCCUAAAAUGGUGGAUAAAAAUAAACCCUACAUCUUUCGGCCGUGAAUGUACCAUAGAAUUGCACAAAAAUCCUGACUAUAUGAAAUGAUA